UCUCUCCCCCUCGCUUAGUUGCAAAAAAAUGCUCUGCAGCUGGGCUGCACCUCAAUGAACCUAAUUGGUGCACUGUGAGCGACCACCAUCUAUCCACUGGAUUUCCAUCGCGCCCGGCUUUCAUCCAGAACAUAUGAAUUUGCUUAGACAGACCCUUUUAAGGAGUUGAACAGAUAGGUCGGAGAAAAUGGCACAGCGCGUGGUUUUGUUUCUGCUGUGGCUCUCUGACAGAUCAUUCGCAGGAUUUCCCAAUCAGAUUAAUAUCGGGGGACUGUUCAUGCGUUCCACGGUGCAGGAGCACAGCGCGUUCAGGUUCGCUGUCCAACUCUACAACACCAACCAAAACACCACUGAAAAGCCUUUCCACCUCAACUACAAUGUCGACAACCUCGAGUCGUCCAACAGCUUUUCAGUCACCCAUGCGUUUUGUUCCCAGUUCUCCCGCGGAGUGUACGCCAUCUUCGGAUUCUACGACAAGAAGUCCAUGAACACCUUGACCUCGUUCUGCGGUGCUCUGCACACCUCUUUUGUCACACCCAGUUACCCCACCGAUAAUGAGGUGCAGUUUGUCAUCCAGAUGCGGCCCGCCCUCCGAGGUGCUGUCCUCAGCCUGCUCUCUCACUACAAGUGGCAGAAGUUUGUCUACCUGUAUGACACAGACCGAGGUUUCUCUAUACUGCAGGCCAUCAUGGAGGCAGCAGUAGCUAACAACUGGCAGGUGACCGCUCGCUCUGUUAGCAGCACAACAGAUGCAGCAGAGUUCAAGCGCAUCAUUGAGGAGAUGGACAGGAGGCAGGAGAAGCGCUAUGUGAUUGACUGUGAGGUGGACAGGAUCAACACCAUAUUAGAACAGGUUGUGACCCUGGGGAAGAACAGUCGUGGUUACCACUACAUUCUGGCCAAUCUUGGAUUUUCUAAUGUGAGCUUGGACAAAGUCUUUGCCGGUGGAGCCAACAUUUCAGGGUUUCAGAUAGUCAACCCUGAGAACCAGAUUGUGCAGCAGUUUAUGCAGCGCUGGGAGCGGCUAGAUGAAAGAGAAUUCCCAGAAGCCCGAAACACUCCUCUGAAGUACACAUCAGCUCUGACCCAUGAUGCCAUCCUGGUGAUAGCAGAGGCCUUCAGGUACCUGCGGCGCCAACGUGUGGACGUCUCUCGCCGAGGCAGUGCUGGAGACUGUCUAGCCAAUCCCGCUGUACCAUGGAGCCAAGGCAUCGACAUAGAGAGAGCUCUCAAAACGGUCCAAGUGCAGGGUAUGACUGGGAACAUCCAGUUUGACAACUACGGCCGCAGGACCAACUACACAAUAGAUGUUUAUGAGAUGAAAACAGGUGGGCCGAAGAAGAUUGGGUACUGGAAUGAAUACGCGCGAUUUGUAAAUAUUAUGGACCCGCAGGUCUCCAACGACUCCUCAGUGGAAAACCGAACGAUUGUGGUCACUACUAUUAUGGAAGCUCCUUAUGUGAUGUACAAGAAAAAUUAUAUGCAUCUGGAUGGGAAUGACAGAUAUGAAGGCUACUGCGUCGAUUUAGCAUCUGAGAUUGCCAAACAUGUUGGAAUUAAGUACAAACUGUCUAUAGUAAUGGAUGGGAAGUACGGAGCCCGAGACCCCGAGACCAAGACGUGGAACGGGAUGGUGGGUGAACUGGUCUAUGGGAGAGCAGAUAUAGCUGUUGCACCUCUAACCAUUACUCUGGUUCGAGAGGAGGUGAUAGACUUUUCCAAGCCCUUUAUGAGCUUGGGCAUCUCCAUUAUGAUAAAGAAGCCGCAAAAGUCCAAGCCUGGCGUUUUCUCCUUCCUGGACCCACUGGCCUAUGAGAUCUGGAUGUGUAUAGUGUUUGCCUAUAUUGGGGUGAGCGUGGUCCUGUUCCUGGUCAGUCGGUUCAGUCCUUAUGAGUGGAACCUCGAGGAACAGGAUGAGACCAAAGACCCUCAGACACCCCCCGAUCCUCCCAAUGACUUUGGCAUCUUCAACUCCCUCUGGUUCUCACUGGGCGCCUUCAUGCAGCAGGGCUGUGACAUCUCCCCCAGAUCUCUGUCGGGCCGUAUUGUCGGUGGUGUGUGGUGGUUCUUCACCCUCAUCAUCAUCUCCUCCUACACAGCCAACCUGGCUGCCUUCUUGACAGUGGAGAGGAUGGUCUCUCCUAUAGAAAGUGCAGAAGAUCUGGCCAAACAGACAGAGAUAGCAUAUGGCACUCUGGACUCAGGCUCCACAAAGGAGUUUUUUAGGCGGUCCAAAAUAGCAGUGUAUGAGAAGAUGUGGUCAUACAUGAAAUCCGCUGAACCCUCAGUGUUUGUUAAGACCACACCCGAUGGCGUAGCCCGGGUACGAAAGUCAAAGGGCAAGUUUGCCUUCCUCCUCGAGUCCACCAUGAAUGAGUACAUCGAGCAGCGGAAGCCGUGCGACACCAUGAAAGUGGGCGGGAACCUCGACUCGAAAGGAUACGGUGUGGCGACGCCCAAAGGCUCAGCAUUAAGAAAUGCUGUUAACCUGGCAGUUUUAAAACUGAAUGAGCAAGGCCUCUUGGACAAAUUGAAAAACAAAUGGUGGUACGACAAGGGAGAGUGCGGCAGCGGGGGAGGUGACUCCAAGGUCAGCCUCGAUGUCACCACAAUCGGGUACCAUAGUGCAGAGUAAUCGGCAAGGCUGUUACAACAACCCAACCAUAACCAAACCAACUGUCCGACCUCAACCAACCUGCUGCUGCCCCACGGCAGAUUACCAAAUUAACUUCUAGUCUGACCAGACACUUCAAGAGCUCAGAUCUAACUAAGGAGCCUUUGCUUAGCCAACAGAAAAAUAAUAUUUGUGGUUAUUGAGACUGUAAUGUUAGUAGCAAAGAAUUGUGAUAGGAGUUUUUUCUCUGUAUGACAAACUUUGAAGUUACUGGAAAUUCUCAGAAAAGGGAGACUAUUAGGUGAAUGUGGCUGCCCUGCAGUUGUGAAAGGUUGAGCUUUAUUUAUUCACCCUUACACAUGUGUAGGGCAGAUCAGCCAGUCUCAGAUAUUAGGACUUUGUCUAGGUAGCUUUGACAGUUUGAGUAAAACACACAUUGUAAUUUAAGUUUGCCAGUGAUAGAAUAUCUUACAUUGAAAAGUUUGAAACCUCCAGCCUUCCCUCCUGAAGGUGAAGUUUGCUAAUCCUGUAAAACACAUGCCUUUGCAGUACUUCACUGCACAGCUGCUUCACAUCCAUGACACUGGCCCAGAACCCAUGAGCUUUAAAGCCAACAUGAUACAUUCUACUUAACGGCAAAAAAACUCAAAAUGGCUGCUCAGCUGAGGCCAACAGGAAAGCAAGGGGAACAGCGGCGUCUUGAGGGGACUAAGCAUUGCAGGCAAACGUGAGAAUUCUAAUUAAACAAAAGACCUAUGAUUUAUUUUUAAAGAGUCAUCUGAUAAACCACCUGUGGUUUGAUUCCACUACAUGCAGUUCCUACCCCAAUUCAUUAAUAACCCAGCUGUGACCCUUUUGACCAUCAGAUCUCUCCCUCUUCUUCUGUGGUUAAAUGAUGAAUGAUUUUUCCAUUAUGGAAGCUAAUGGUGCAAAGUGUAAAACCCCACUCAACCAUGACAAUUUAGUGUAAUGCUACAUAGAAUAUGUGCCAUGAAGCAUUGUGCUAUUUUCAUUAGAUUACAUAUACGACAGUAGCAUUAUAUUCUUUACAAUGCAGGUCAGCUGAUGCUGUCAGCACGCAUGUGAUGAUCUGGUCAGGUAAUUGGCUAAAUUACAGACAAGCUGCAAGGUCUGCAGAUUGUGUCAUAACUCUCUUAAUGUCAUUUGUCAUGGAUUGGCCAAGACCACAACGAACAGUUAAACUGCAGCGGGUUCAUUUUUAAUAUAGCAUCACCACAAGAGGCUGCAUGAGGCACAGAUCAAAUAAUGUCUUACUAAAUGCCUGUGGUUCAUUUCUGAAAAGGAUUCAAGUAUUCAAAAGUCACCUUUUCAGUGUUUGCAUUGCUAACAUUGCUAUGUUCUGUAGUCACUGAGCUCAAGAGGCCUCCCUGUGCUACUGAGAGCUCAUGCUCAGGAGCCAUUUGAAAGCACCUGUCUCUUGUGCUGUCAUCGAUCUUUUAUCAUGCACAGGUAUGUACUGUCUGUCUGUUUCCUGGCUUGUUUUGGCUCCCCAGGACUCAGUGGAAAGGCCCGAUUAGGUGGAAUAAAGCGGCCUGGAGCGCUCUGUUCCAAACAGUGCAUUGCUUGGCGCUGUCCCGCUCACAGCUCUGUGUUCCAACAGACAUCAGGAGUUGCACAUAAUCAUGCACACAGCUGCAUGCACACCAAGUUAACACAGCUCUCUCCUGCCCUCAGGCACAACACAGUGCAGCCUUGAUUGAGUUUCAGACACAGAGCAUGUUACAGGGUAAUUGCAUUGUUAAUCAAUGUCUCUCAGAGCCAAGACAAUAGUCUGGUCUUCACAGUCCGUUUCUCCAGAUUGGCUAUGAGGGAUAUACAGUGGUGUAAUCUUCUCUCAGUGCAUUAUGCAUUGCAUGGAUCCCUUUGGGGGACAUUGUUCCCGGGGAGUAGUCAGGUUACUCAUUUAUCUAUUUCUUUGCUUCUGAUUUGCUUUUCACUUUCACACAGACAGAUUGACCUGAGCCACAAACUGUUAUACUACGACUACAAAAUGUGAUCUUCAUCCAGCCUUUACAAUUGUUUUUUCCUGAAGUAAUUUAGUGCAAUAGAAUAUUAUGACCAUUUAGAUUUACAUACAGUAUUUUGACGUCAUGAUAUAACUCCUAGAGAUAUUAAAUGGCAAGAAACAGCUGUGUCAGACAUUAGAUUAUGCAGCUACAGGCAAAUAUGAGAGGAAUUAUUCCACUUUUGAGCUUAGUCCUGGAGCUCUAUGCAGUUUGGUUGGGACACACUUCAUCUGACACUAAUCUGGCGUAAUUGAGAGAUAAGGUUUUCUUAGCGAUAUGUCGGAACAGAACGCACAAGAAUUAAUUAAGUUUUCACUUUUGGGCAUAGUUGCUUGGAUAAGAAAUUGGUUGUAAUACCUCCAGAAUUGAUUGUUGUCAUGCUGGUGACACUACUAUUAGCUAUCGCAGGAGUAAGCUGAUAUUGUGGAAAUGGAAAGGUAGUGUCUAUCACUUAGAUUUUUCUGUUUGUUAAGACAAAGCUCCUGUUGGACUGAACUUGUUAAAUGCUGUUCUGAAAGCCCCUGUGAUCUGUUACCUGCCCCCAAACCAAUGUACCCCGAUGCUUUUUAAUACUCAUAGACUUGCAGAUUGUGCUCUCAGUACCUGCUCGUCGCCCUGUUAACAGCGUCUGCCGAUUACUCAAAGCGAUAUGGGUAGGUCCUGGCUUUAGACUAGGGGUUCUAAAGGUAAUAGGUAGAAUGCCUGCUAUCUGUGAUGUUGACAUAGCCAGGAGCCCUGCUUUAUCGCUUUGUAAAGUAUGUAGUAGUUUAAAAGUUGAAUAACAUAAAAUAACAUAAUAUAAUGUUAUUUAUGUUAUUUCCCACGUGAAGAACUCCUGUAAACCUUGCAGUAUUGAAACUCAGUGAACAAGGCAUCUUAGACAAGCUGAAAAACAAAUGGUGGUACGAUAAGGGUGAAUGUGGAACCAAGGACUCUGGAAGUAAGGACAAGACAAGUGCUCUCAGC